CCACGGUAAGACAAAUUGUCUAUAAAUGGAGAAAGUUCAGCACUGCUGCUACUCUCCCUAGGAGUGGCCGUCCUGUAAAGAUGACUGCAAGAGCACAGAGCAGACUGCUCAGUGAGGUGAAGAAGAAUCCUAGAGUGUCAGCUAAAGACUUACAAAAGUCACUGGCAAAUGCUAACAUCCCUGUUAGCGAAUCUACAAUACGUAAAACACUAAACAAG